ACGUAGGGGGCAAGCGUUGUCCGGAAUUACUGGGCGUAAAGCGCACGUAGGCGGUUUGUUAAGUCUGAGGUGAAAGGCCAUAGCUCAACCCUUGUAUGCCUUGCGAACUGGAAGACUUGAGUGCAGGAGAGGAAAGUGGAAUUCCCAGUGUAGCGGUGAAAUGCGCAGAUAUCAGGAGGAACACCAGUGGCGAAGGCGACUUUCUGGACGGUAACUGACGCUGAGGCGCGAAAGCGUGGGGAGCAAACAG
rnacentral:rRNA from 1 species